rnacentral:sRNA from 1 species
UGAAGAUGACAAGACCGAAGAGGACGUGCCCAUGCCCAAGAACUACCUGUGGCUCACCAUUGUCUCGUGUUUUUGCCCUGCGUACCCCAUCAACAUCGUGGCUUUGGUCUUUUCCAUCAUGUCUCUGAACAGCUACAACGAUGGAGACUACGAAGGAGCCAGGCGGCUUGGGCGGAAUGCUAAGUGGGUAGCCAUCGCCUCCAUCAUCAUUGGCCUUCUCAUCAUCGGCAUUUCUUGUGCAGUUCACUUCACAAGGAAAGGGGCUGGAAAAAUCUGACAUUAGAGGAGUCGAAGCCUGAAGAUGAGCCCAAAACCCAUGAAUCUUGCCUGAGGAACCAGCGGUCAGCAGGCUGUGAGCGUGGAGGAUGGACCUCAUCCACACACACCCCAAAGGAGUUUCUAAGGAAUGGAUCCUUGACUUCAGACUGUGAGAUCUUUU